rnacentral:rRNA from 1 species
AGUGAACGCUGGCGGCGUGCUUAACACAUACAAGUCGAACGAGACAGGAACAUAUCUUGCUAUAUUUGUCAACUAAGUGGCACACGGGUGCGCAACUUCUAGCUAACCUGCCCAUCAGAACAGCAUUACAGCUAGAAACGACUGUUAAUGCCCUAUAUGCCUUUAAUACAUAAUUACGCAGUGGCGACGCUUUAGUGCUUAAUGAUGGGUCUGUCUGGUAUCAGCUUGUUGGUGAGUUAAUGGCUCACCAAGGCUAUGACGCCUAACAGGUUUUAGAGGAUGAGCAGUCAUACUGGAACUUAGACACGGUCCAGACUCCUACGGGAGGCAGCAGUGGCGAAUAUUGCACAAUGGACGAAAGUCUGAUGCAGCAACGCCGCGUGGAGGAUGACACAUUUCGGUGCGUAAACUCCUUUUAUAUAGGAAGAUAAUGACGGUACUAUAUGAAUAAGCACCGGCUAACUCCGUGCCAGCAGCCGCCGUAA